rnacentral:rRNA from 1 species
AACGAACGCUGGCGGCAUGCCUAACACAUGCAAGUCGAACGAGACCUUCGGGACUAGGGGCGCACGGGUGCGUAACGCGUGGGAACCUGCCCUUAGGUUCGGAAUAACUCCCCGAAAGGGGUGCUAAUACCGGAUAAUGUCUUCGGACCGAAGAUUUAUCGCCUUUGGAUGUGCCCGCGUUGGAUUAGCUAGUUGGUAGGGUAAAAGCCUACCAAGGCGACGAUCCAUAGCUGGUCUGAGAGGAUGAUCAGCCACACUGGGACUGAGACACGGCCCAGACUCCUACGGGAUGCAGCAGUGGGUAAUAUUGGACAAUGGGCGAAAGCCUGAUCCAGCAAUGCCGCGUGAGUGAUGAAGGCCUUAGAGUUGUAAAGCUCUUUUACCCGGGAUGAUAAUGACAGUACCAGGAGAAUAAGCUCCGGCUAACUCCGUG